UACGUAGGGUGCAAGCGUUGUCCGGAAUUAUUGGGCGUAAAGAGCUUGUAGGCGGUUUGUCGCGUCUGCUGUGAAAUUUCGGGGCUCAACCCUGAACUUGCAGUGGGUACGGGCAGACUAGAGUGUGGUAGGGGGAGACUGGAAUUCCUGGUGUAGCGGUGAAAUGCGCAGAUAUCGGGAGGAACACCGGUGGCGAAGGCGGUUCUCUGGGCCUUACCUGACGCUGAGGAGCGAAAGCGUGGGGAGCGAACAGG
rnacentral:rRNA from 1 species